AAUGUAGAUUGGGUUCCAUGCUCUGGUUAAUCCAUUAGAUGACACGGUCCAUUGAAAAGGUACUAAAUUACUGAUGUUUGGUCCAUAUAUGAAUCUGUUUAUUUAAUGGCCAGCAUUAAUUGUUAAUUCUCUUGUUUGCGGGUGACUUUUCCUCUAGCAUGCCUUAUGGAAAGAAGUGUCAGUGACAACCUUUUAAUCAACAGCAACUUACCCUACUAAUGAGCAUUUGGAGCAUUUCAUAGCUCGUUCAGUUUAUUCAAAGACUCAUUUUUACCUGCACAGCAUGUUCCCGCCCAGUAAUCAGUGGGCCAAUUAAUGAAGGAGAGGAUAGUUUGCUAGACACAUGUUUUUUGUGUGAGCUUUCUGGUCUUUUAUGUAGUUGUGGUGUUGACAAUUUUUGUUGUUCUUUACAUAAAUUCUUAUUGGCUAAGCGCUUGGUUUUCUUUUAUUGGAAAGUGCAUCACAACCUGUCGUUACUCAACAAUGGCCAAUUUUCUUGCAUAUCACAUCUUCAGGCAAUGUGAUUAUGUUGAAAAUUGGCCUACCAUGCUUGCUGUAAUACUUCCGGAUGAAGUACGUGCUAGCAAUUGUUCAUGCUGCAGCACGUAUGCUUGCUGUAACAGCAAGAUUUUUGUUUUAGUUUCACUGUAAUCAGCCUAGUUGGAAAUGAACAAGCUGAUGACAGCUUGAUAUGUUUAGGUGUUGAAUGACUAAUUUAGGUGGCUUGUUUCUGUGUACAAGCAAUGUUUUUAAAGUUAGUAGGCUACUUAGUGGUAGUAGGUAGUAAUAACUGAUGUAGUUGGCUAUAAAUGUAUUGUUUUUUUAUUGAAAAAUUAAGCAUAUCAGUGG
rnacentral:lncRNA from 1 species